AACGAACGCUGGCGGCAUGCCUAACACAUGCAAGUCGAACGAGACCUUCGGGUCUAGUGGCGCACGGGUGCGUAACGCGUGGGAACCUGCCCUUAGGUUCGGAAUAACUCCCCGAAAGGGGUGCUAAUACCGGAUAACGUCUUCGAACCAAAGAUUUAUCGCCCUUGUAUGGGCCCGCGUUGGUUUAGCUAGUUGGUAGGGUAAAAGCCUACCAAGGCGACGAUCCAUAGCUGGUCUGAGAGAAUGAUCAGCCACACUGGGACUGAGACACGGCCCAGACUCCUACGGGAGGCAGCAGUGGGGAAUAUUGGACAAUGGGCGAAAGCCUGAUCCAGCAAUGCCGCGUGAGUGAUGAAGGCCUUAGGGUUGUAAAGCACUUUUACCCGGGAUGAUAAUGACAGUACCGGGAGAAUAAGCACCGGCUAACUCCGUG
rnacentral:rRNA from 1 species